GUAAUUUGGUCAGGCCAUGUAGCGCCUGACUUGAUAUGAAGUUGAUCUGGCGGAUGCAGUUGUAGUAUUAGCUUCAGUUCAACUUCAUAUGGACUCAGGCGCUACAUCGCCUGACAAAAUGAC